CACACGACUCUCGGCAACGGAUAUCUCGGCUCUCGCAUUGAUGAAGAACGUAGCAAAAUGCGAUACCUGGUGUGAAUUGCAGAAUCCCGCGAACCAUCGAGUCUUUGAACGCAAGUUGCGCCCGAGGCCACUCGGCCGAGGGCACGCCUGCCUGGGCGUCACGC
rnacentral:rRNA from 1 species